rnacentral:rRNA from 1 species
AUACCGCAUACGCCCUACGGGGGAAAGAUUUAUMGGGGAAGGAUUGGCCCGCGUUGGAWUAGCUAGUUGGUGGRGUAAAGGCCUACCAAGGCGACGAUCCAUAGCUGGUCUGAGAGGAUGAWCAGCCACAUUGGGACUGAGACACGGCCCAAACUCCUACGGGAGGCAGCAGUGGGGAAUAUUGGACAAUGGGCGCAAGCCUGAUCCAGCCAUGCCGCGUGAGUGAUGAAGGCCUUAGGGUUGUAAAGCUCUUUCACCGGAGAAGAUAAUGACGGUAUCCGGAGAAGAAGCCCCGGCUAACUUCGUGCCAGCAGCCGCGGUAAUACGAAGGGGGCUAGCGUUGUUCGGAAUUACUGGGCGUAAAGCGCACGUAGGCGGAUAUUUAAGUCAGGGGUGAAAUCCCAGAGCUCAACUCUGGAACUGCCUUUGAUACUGGGUAUCUUGAGUAUGGAAGAGGUAAGUGGAWUUCCGAGUGUAGAGGUGAAAUUCGUAGAUAUU